rnacentral:rRNA from 1 species
UUGAAGUGUGGACGCCAGUCUGCAUGGAGCCGACCUUGAAAUACCACCCUUUAAUGUUUGAUGUUCUAACGUUGACCCGUAAUCCGGGUUGCGGACAGUGUCUGGUGGGUAGUUUGACUGGGGCGGUCUCCUCCUAAAGAGUAACGGAGGAGCACGAAGGUUGGCUAAUCCUGGUCGGACAUCAGGAGGUUAGUGCAAUGGCAUAAGCCAGCUUGACUGCGAGCGUGACGGCGCGAGCAGGUGCGAAAGCAGGUCAUAGUGAUCCGGUGGUUCUGAAUGGAAGGGCCAUCGCUCAACGGAUAAAAGGUACUCCGGGGAUAACAGGCUGAUACCGCCCAAGAGUUCAUAUCGACGGCGGUGUUUGGCACCUCGAUGUCGGCUCAUCACAUCCUGGGGCUGAAGUAGGUCCCAAGGGUAUGGCUGUUCGCCAUUUAAAGUGGUACGCGAGCUGGGUUUAGAACGUCGUGAGACAGUUCGGUCCCUAUCUGCCGUGGGCGCUGGAGAACUGAGGGGGGCUGCUCCUAGUACGAGAGGACCGGAGUGGACGCAUCACUGGUGUUCGGGUUGUCAUGCCAAUGGCACUGCCCGGUAGCUAAAUGCGGAAGAGAUAAGUGCUGAAAGCAUCUAAGCACGAAACUUGCCCCGAGAUGAGUUCUCCCUGACUCCUUGAGAGUCCUGAAGGAACGUUGAAGACGACGACGUUGAUAGGCCGGGUGUGUAAGCGCAGCGAUGCGUUGAGCUAACCGGUACUAAUGAACCGUGAGG